GACAAUUUGGCUGAGUGGUCUAAAGUGCCAGAUUUAAGCUUUGGUCCGAAAGGGCAUGGGUUCAAAUCCCAUAAUUGUCA